rnacentral:rRNA from 1 species
GACGAACGCUGGCGGCGCGCUUAACACAUGCAAGUCGAACGGAAAGGCCUGCUUUCCCUUGUGGAUUGCGGGUACUCGAGUGGCGAACGGGUGAGUAACACGUGAGUGAUCUGCCCCCAACUUGGGUAUAAGCCUGGGAAACUGGGUCUAAUUCCCGAUAGGACUGCAGGGUGGUGCCUGUGGUGGAAAACGAUUUUCUAGUGGUUGGGGAUGAGCUCGCGGCCUAUCAGCUUGUUGGUGGGGUAAUGGCCUACCAAGGCGGCGACGGGUAGCCGGCCUGAGAGGGUGGACGGCCACAUUGGGACUGAGAUACGGCCCAGACUCCUACGGGAGGCAGCAGUGGGGAAUAUUGCACAAUGGGCGGAAGCCUGAUGCAGCGACGCCGCGUGGGGGAUGACGGCCUUCGGGUUGUAAACUCCUUUCGACCGCGAGGAAGCCACCUGGUUGGAAGGGUGGUGACGGUAGUGGUAGAAGAAGCACCGGCCAACUACGUG